AUUUCUCAAAUUUUCAAACUGCUGCAAAGUUAUUUUUUACAACUUGCAUUUUGCUACUUUUGGUAAAUAUUAAAAUCUGACAUUACCUUUCAGUAUUAAUGCUUGAGUUAGUAUGUUCUAAACCGGGAGAAAAAUAAUUCAAUAGACAUACUAUAUUUCUAGAAAUUGUGCAAGCUCAAAACCCUCUAUUCCCUGACUUAAAAACAUUGUCCAAUCUUUAUUUGUAGGGCUGGAGUUCUUCCAUGACUCAUUGCAGGGUGAGUCGCCGCAGCAGGUGUGGUUCAAGGGAGCAGAAUGAGUCAGAUGUGGGAAAACAAGAUCAGUACAAGGGAGUAAUGUCUAACACCAGUUGUGAAAGGUUUUAAGGCAGAAAGGCUUAUCUGUUGAUGGCAUGUGAAGAGCUUCAAAUCCGUGUCGGCAGUCACUCUGGGCAAUUACAGUAUUUGAGAAACAGAAUUUGGAAACCAGCUAACACCUGGAGGUUGAUGCUUUGUUUACAGCCAUGGCAGGUAAAUUUAAUUUCUU
ensembl:lincRNA